AAUGAGUCGUCUAUGUAUCUUGAUUAAAAAUCAAAAAUAGUAUAGAUUUAAAAAAUUUACCAAAAAAGGAGAUAAGCUAAGAUGAUGCUAUUACAACAAAUAUUUCAAAAGCUAUGUUGCAUCUAAUACGUCUAAUGGGGCCUAAAUAAGACUAGCCCAACAUCUCAAUACUUUACUAAGUUUUAGGGUUUCUGUUCCUUUUAUAACAAACGAUCGACAGCAACUCGAGAAAACACACACACAACCACAAAGGAAAAAAGAACAGAGUCUUUUAAGGUGGAUUGGACUUAUUUGUUUUCAUCGAUCUUGGUUUGAAAAAAAACAUG
rnacentral:lncRNA from 1 species